ensembl:lncRNA
UCCGGACAGAGCAAAAAAAACAAGGCAUCAGUAUUGUUGAGUAUUAGCUUGUACCUGGUUCGGAGGCAAAGUUUGGCGGAGAAGGCAGCUGGUGCGCCCCCGGUCGCUGCCUGGCUACGCGCGGGCGCGGGAGUUUGGACCAAGACAAAGACGGGAGCUGUCCGCGGUGCUGAACCUGCCGCGCCGCCGCGAGGGCAAAUGGGCUCCUGUAACCCUUCUCUGGCUUGCCCUUGAUAUCCCCCAAAGGAUUGCAAUGUGGAAGAGGAGGUAACUUGCAAGAUAUCCAUGCUUCCCCAGAAAGAGUAAAAUACGGGGUCAAAGGUGUUAACGCCUCAUCCUGCCAUCAUGAACAAAGUACCAUGCCCAGAUGGUCUUACAGUCCCGAGAUGGAGUUAUCGACGGGAACCAGGAUGAUGGACAGAUUGGCAGGGUUCUGUAUUGAUGAGUUAAUAGAUUGUUGGCUAUUUUUUUCAUUCUCUGAAAAAAAAAGAAGUCUUGACAGCUGUCUUCACUGUCGUGGGGGUGGGAGAGGCAGCUGCAGAAGGUGAUGGAAAGCAAGACCUGGGUCAGGGUGGUGCCCAUCAGACAACCACAGCAGCUCGACCUUCAACACUUACCCCGAAUCCCACCAGCUUCCAUCCUCUUCCCUGAUGCCCCUUGUCCAAGGCCCCAUCAUCUCUUGGCUGAUUAUCACGAGUUCUUCUCAGUGCCUCAGUGCGUUCUGCAGCCAGCAGGCAGAGCUGUCGCAAAGCAUAAACCAGGGACUUGCCUGCUGAUACAGUCCAUAAGAAUUUGCCUGCCAAUGCAGGGGACACAGGUUUGAUCCCUUGUCGGGGAAGAGCCCACGUACCGCGGAGCAACUAAGCCCCUGUGCCAUUACUACUGAGCCUGUGCUCUAGAGCCCUCAAGCUGCAACUGCUGAGCCCAUGUGCUGCAACUAUUGAAGCCCGCGCACCCUGGAGCCUGUGCUCUGUAGCAGUGAGAAGCCUGUGCACCGAAACUAGAGACUAGCCCCUGCUCGCUGCCAACUAGAGAAAAGCCCUCAGAGCAACGAAGACCCAGCGCAGCCAAAAAAUGAAAGUUCCAUGAGGUCUCCAUGAGUUCAAGUACCACAACUGAAAGAUCCCGCGUGCUGCAACGAGACCCGGUGCAGCCAAAUAAGUAAAUAAAUGUUUUAAAAAAUAAAUAAAUAAAAUUGAGCUAUUAAAAAAAAAGAUGGAGGCAGAUGGAUCACAGUCAGAGAAGGGGAUGUGAGGAUAGAAGUGGAGAAGAGAGAGAGAGAGAAGAGAGAAUAUGCUAGCUUUUGAAGAGGAGGAGGGGGCUGCGAACCAAAGAAAGCAGGUGGCAUCUAGAAACUGGAAGAAGAAAGGAGGGGAUUCAGCCCCAGAGCUUCCAGAAUGAAAAGCUUUCUCUGUGAACACCUCGAUUUUACUGAUGAGAGCCUUGUCAUAUUUCUGACUUACAGAACUACAAGAUAAUAUAUUUUGUGUUGCUCUAAGGGCUUGUAGUCCUCUGUUACAGCAGCUCUAGGAAACUCAUGCUUCAGGUAAAGUGCUUAUCAUGGUGUCUCAUGCACGGUAAGCCUUUGGUAGAAGUGAGCUGCUAUUAUCAUUGGUCAAAUGUUAUCCUUCUCCCCACCUUUACCAUUAAGGCUGGUCAGC